rnacentral:lncRNA from 1 species
CUUCCAUCUUUCCCAGCAUCAGGGUCUUUUCCAACAAGCAGGUGCUGCCGGAUUGACAGAUCACCAGAAGGGGGCGCUCAGGCGUCGGCACUGCGGGCCACCUCUGACCGGGGUCUGAUGAAAGGUCGUCGCUGAUCCGUCCUCGUCAAGGUUCCCGUGUUUGUUUGUGACUUACGUGCCUUCUUCAGAUCUCUCAGUGGCCUGCGGUGCUAAAGGAGCUUCCAGCACCUCUCUUCCUCCUUCUGGAACUCCGCCACCAGUCCAGAGGGCGGAUCGGUGAAGCCCUAAUGCGGCGGUAACGGGUUAAGCAGAGGCUGGGAGUCCAGCCAUACAGCAAGCGGGAGCGAAAGUGGUUAAGUUUCGGGAGCUACGUUGGCUAAUUAGCAUCUUUUUAAACUGUUGAGGUCUUAAAGUUCUUUCUGUCGAAUCUUCUGAUGAAAUGACUUGCCCUCCAUCUCCAGACCAGCCGCAGAUGGACACCAGGUGCCCCGAGUCAGGCUGACCUUGCUCAGCCUCCCCGCGGCACUUGGAACUCGACUCUGCGUCCCGUGGCCUCUGGGACCCCAUGUGUCCCUGGCUGUCCUCCCGCUUCGCCGGCCACUCCUCGGCAGGCAGUGGGCAGAGCGGCUCCAAGCUCACCGGGACUCCGGCCACCGGUUCGUAUCCCUCCUCUUCUGCAGGAAGGAACUUCUAAGAGUUGCCGCUGUUCCUUGCAAACUUCUGGACACGGAUCCAGUCCACGGCCGGGGUGUGUGCAGCAGUUUCAGCCGCGCUGCACACAAGACCUGCCGGCGACGGAGCGGACGGCGUUUGUGGGACAGAACCCGGAGCGGGGGCGCUGGGCUGAGGCUCCUAACGGCGCCCGGAGUGAGGCGGCUCCGGCCCCCGCAGCCGCGGGAUCCGCGGUUUAAAGCGUCGGAAGCCCGUGCAGGUACCCCCGGGCACAGUCCCGCCCCCUCCCCCC